rnacentral:rRNA from 1 species
GCGACGCCGCGUGAGGGAUGACGGCCUUCGGGUUGUAAACCUCUUUCACCAGGGACGAAGCGCAAGUGACGGUACCUGGAGAAGAAGCACCGGCCAACUACGUGCCAGCAGCCGCGGUAAUACGUAGGGUGCGAGCGUUGUCCGGAAUUACUGGGCGUAAAGAGCUCGUAGGUGGUUUGUCGCGUUGUUCGUGAAAACUCACAGCUCAACUGUGGGCGUGCGGGCGAUACGGGCAGACUGGAGUACUGCAGGGGAGACUGGAAUUCCUGGUGUAGCGGUGGAAUGCGCAGAUAUCAGGAGGAACACCGGUGGCGAAGGCGGGUCUCUGGGCAGUAACUGACGCUGAGGAGCGAAAGCGUGGGGAGCGAACAGGAUUAGAUACCCUGGUAGUCCACGCCGUAAACGGUGGGUACUAGGUGUGGGUUUCCUUCCUUGGGAUCCGUGCCGUAGCUAACGCAUUAAGUACCCCGCCUGGGGAGUACGGCCGCAAGGCUAAAACUCAAAGAAAUUGACGGGGGCCCGCACAAGCGGCGGAGCAUGUGGAUUAAUUCGAUGCAACGCGAAGAACCUUACCUGGGUUUGACAUGCACAGGACGUGCCUAGAGAUAGGUAUUCCCUUGUGGCC